rnacentral:rRNA from 1 species
AUGGCUAUGGAAACUUUCCUGGUCAGCUUAUCCUGCUCAAAUUCAGACGCCACACCUGAUGCGGAGGCACCGCACCAGGACGAAAGAACGAUUGAGCAGCUCAGACCUAGCUACCAAAAACCAAUCUCACCACUUUUACGUAGGCAAGCGGGGGUGCACAACAAACAGAAGAAAAGGACACCGCCAGCACAUGUCCGAAGAAGUGCCAGGAUCGAUGGAAGAUUCACUGCUGGCUCAUCAGUUAAACAGCAGCAAUGCACGCUCAUGCUACAGCUAGGAAUUGCACGAGAAGGGGAAGCAAUUGGGGACGACGCAAUGCAGGCCUACCUGGACCUGUUCUCUUGCCCGUUGCAGCAGGAGCACAUCGCGGCAAUUGUGGGGCUCUUCGGGUGGCAGGCCGAGGUGCUCCCACUCGGACGCAUUGUGGACGGGGCUGCACAGUAG